GAGGACGAGCUCCUGAGGGUGACCGACCUGGUGGACUACGUCUGCAACAGCGAGCAGUUGUGAGGCCGCCGGGGGAGCUCCGGAGGGGGACCGGCCUGGGGGACUGCGUCUGCGACAGCGAGCGCUGCGAGGGCGCCGGGGGAGAGGAGGAGGAGGAGCUUCUGAGGGCGCCGGGGCUGCGUCUGCGACCGCAGGCGGCUGUGCGGCCGCUCCCUCCGUUUCUCUGCUAAUUUAUUCCACGGUAGCUCUCUCCAGCGGGCCAGUUAUUAAAGUGGUUUUAUUUUUCCUAAACUCCACUACAGAAUGACUUUUUAGAAGAAAAAUUUCAACAAACCUUGAAGUCUUUCUGUGAAGUGACCAGUUUUGAACUUUGAAGAUAAAUAAUUGCUGUAAAUUCCUUUUAAUUUUCUUUUUCCAAGUUCAUGGUCCUUGGUAAUUUCAUUCAUGGAAAAAAAAUUCUUAUUAUAAUAACAACAAAGAUUUGUAUAUUUUUGACUUUAUAUUUCCUGAGCUCUCCUGACUUUGUGAAAAAGGGUGGAUAAGAAUGCAUUCCGAAUCUGCGAGGGCCCAAAACAGAAUUAGGGGUGGGAGAAAGCACUUGUGCUUUAGCUUUUUCAUAUUAAAUAUAUAUUAUAUUUAAACAUUCAUGGCAUAGAUGAUGAUUAACAGACUGUUUAAAAGUUCGAGUCUGUAUUGUUACAGCUUGAGAAUUGUAGAUAACAUCGUACGUAAAUCAUUUAGUAACAGCAUUCAUGAAUCAACUUGUUUACCAUUGGAGAUAACCACACUUAAUAAAGAAGAGACCGAGAAAGUACCAUCGUAAAAAAACUCUUAAGUUUGUUAUAGUGGAGUUUCUUGUUUUAAAAAAAAUCAUCUGAAAAGCAUUUGUACAGUAAAAUGUAAAAUGAAGCUUUGACAACCAGAUUGUGCUAGCAACAAAUUUAAAACAGCUUUAUGCAGUGAUGAUGAGGUGGCCUCCAAUAUACUAUCAUGGAGAGUUAUUAGCGAAAUGCGUGUGCUCUUCUUUAAAGCCCAGGUGGAUUGUAAACUUUGCAGACAGUGUAACUCUUGUGUUCUGGCCACUUAUUUAAAUAUAUGAAAUAUAAUUUUGAAACAAAUACAUCUUAUACAUAACAUGAAGAGAUGCUAAGCUGACAGUGGUAUUUUAGCACAUUUGAAGAAGGGGAAAGGAUUUUCAGGUGAAUUUUAACUGGUCUAUUCUUGCCCUUAGUAUCUACUUCAAAUUGAAGUCUACCAACAAAGCAGUUCCUUUGGGAGAUUUUUAGUUUGAGUUUUAGCAUGUAUGUGUGUGUAUAUGUGUGUGUGUGUAUGUAUGUGUGUUGGAAUUUCUUAUCUGCCUGGAUAUAUUAGCAGGGUUUGAAUGUAGUUUUGGCCUUUGGCCAUUAGACUUAUAUUAAAAUUCAUUAAUAGUCACACGACCAACAUAGAGUUGAUUGAGAAUCACCAAUGUACUUAAUAGGCAUGACAUCCAUUUUAAACAUCUCAACACUUCAAAAAAAAAAAAAGCGCUUUGUUUCAAGAAAAGGGGUUUCUAACUAAAUAUCUAACAUGUAAUUGACACUAAAAUAUGAGCUUUGUCUUAGUUUCUGUUACAGCUGUAAAAUUUCAGGCAGAGCCAUAAAUAACAUUGUACAAAGUGUAGCACUUCUGAUUAAACCUUGCCUGUCAAAUUCUGAAACCUUCAGCCAUUACUUCUGUGAAUACUUUUGCCCUGGGAUUUGGGUUUUUCUGUUUCAGUGUUGUGUCUGUUGCCGGCAAUGGACACACCAUAUCUGCUGCUGGCCCAAGGAACUUCAUUAAUUUUUCUUUCCAAAUUAAGCAUUAUAUGUGCUAGUCAGUGUAUAGUAAAGCACUUCCUCCUUUUUAUUAUUAAAAAGCUGGCAUUAGACUUGCAUUAUAAAUACCUCUCUAGAAACUUUAUACUUCUUUUCCUCCUUUAACAGGUGUUGCCCUUAAAUCUUUUGACCUUGAAAGUUUAUAGCUGUUGUUUUUCAGUUAUUGGUUCUUUUGUUUCACUUAGUUCUGUAGUAUCUGCCCAUUAAUAUUUUUGCUUUGAUUCUAGCAAUGUAUAUGUAUCUGUAUAAAAAAUAAAAUAAUGAAAGCAGCCUAAAAAUAGGGUGCACAAAUAGCAUGUGAUUCCAAGUAAGUUGUGAUUUUUAUUUUGAGACAAUGUUCCACUGGAAGGGAGGGAAGGGCUCACACUCACAGACAGUAGAGCAGAGGACUAUGUAAGGAGCCACAUUCAUUUACAAGCCUCCUUUCUAGCUAGGUUUGUUUCAUUUAUUUGAAAGUGUGUUAACAAUGUUAGCCCUUUUUUAACUAAAACAGGCAGGCAGUAGGAGGAGUCUUACUACUAGUGCAAGGUAAGUGGUUAGAAUGUGCCGGGGCCUAUCCUGCUCCGUCUCCCUCUACUGUUUUAGUCCUGCAGCUGGUAAAGCCACUACUGUGUGGAAACUCCCAUGUACCCUGUUUCUACCUCUGGAUACACCAGCUCCUGCUUCCACCUAUUCUGUUCAGUUAAGCAAGUGAUAAGAAGUAUUAAAUGGAUAGAUUAUUUCUUUUACAGGAUGCCUAAUGUGAAAUAAGGAGUUCUUCUUACUCUUCCGCUACAGAGCAAAAGGUAAUUUUUAUCAUUGUGAAGACUGAGUACUCCAUUUAGCAAAUAUCCCAUUGAUAUGGGUUAUGAUACCACUUUUGCUGCCUGUUACCUACCAAACUUGAAUUGUUGUGAAGUUGAUAGUGAGUGUAUUCCUUCUAACCUUACAUUCUGAUUAAACCAGUUAACUGUUUCAUCUACACAGAGUGUAAUCCAAGCAGCUGAUACUCACAGAUUCUCUUUAUGCAGAUAGAUUUGUUAUGGGUGAUUAAAUGCUGAACAGGUCAAAAGCAGCUCUACCACUUGGCGUUUAGAUUCAGUCCCUGAAAGAGUGUGUUCACUGAAAUAUUAACUCUGAACAUACUUUGAAGACUUUUUUAAAAAUUAGGAAAAAGUGAACUUUUUAUAUCCAAAGACAUAAUUCAGUUUUAGGAACUGGACAGUGCAUAGGAAAGCAGCUGUUCAUCUAGAGUUUAGAAUAUAUUGAGUUUUUGUUGUUGCAGUACUAGCCAUGCAUUUAGGUUCACAAUAGCUGCUAUAAUAUAAUAGAGCCCCUUUAUACUUUAAUUCCCCUUUUUUGAGAUACAGUUUGGAUUCCGGAUAUAAAACUCCACAGUGUAUAGCAAAUGUAGAGAAGAUGUAGUUUAGUACUCAGGCUAUUUAGUUGCAAUUUCUGUAAAGGUUUGAAAACAAGCCAAAUUGUCACAAAGCAGAGGCUUUGAAUUAAAUUAUGUGAAAAAACUUUGACUGAAAAUACACAUUUUGGUUUUGUAAACUCGUGCUGAUGAAAUAGUGUUCAGUGUAAAACAUUUUCCAAUGUUGGUUCCUUAUUAGAGAAUGAUGGCAGAGAUAUUUUCAAGACUCUACCUGAUGUAUUGAGGUUGGGUUUCCUUGACACAUCUUUUCCCAUUUGGUCAAGGUUGCAAAUUCAGAGAAUAAAGAGGAGUGUCAUUUAGAAUAAAUUCAUGUCUACUGAUAAUCUUUUUAUAAGUGUAACCUGCCAAAGAACCAAGGACUUCAAAUGCUGAGGAAGUUGUUAAAAAAAGGUUUUUAAACAAACUAAUUUUAAAAGGAUAUUAUAAACUCCGGUUUUCAUUUUUCAGUUGAUAGGAUCCAUCCCAUAAUAGGAGUUUGAGCAAAGUACAUAUAUUAAAGAAAAAUGUAGAAGUUUACUUGUUAUUUAGAGAUAAAAUGGGGAAAAGUUAGCUAUUUUUAAGCAGGAUGGAUGGAAUUUCCUUUGUCACAAGGAAUGCCUUUUUAGCCCACGUUUGUGGGGCUGAGAUGUUUGCCAUUUGCUAGUUUGUACUACCAUGCAACUGAAAGGAACCUAACGGACCUCCAAGUUUAAUACACAGAAAAGUUGUGAACUCUGUCUUUUACCAACACAAGGAACAGGUCCAUGAUUCAUGGCAUUCGUCACAGCUAUAGAUUUUUUUUUAAUGGAAUAAACAUUACAUAUAUAUAUAUAUAAAUAUGCAUACAUACUUUAGAUGUUAGGAUUAAAGUGAACCCUUUGAAAUCACUGACAUAAAAAUCAGAUAAGUAAUUGUAACUCAUAUGAAAUUAUGAACAUUAUUUAAUAAUGGAAAGUCUAGAGAAAAAUAGUGAAGGUCCUUUUCUUGGUUUGACAUUCUAAAAGUAUGUUCCUGGUUCUCCCCAGAAUCGAGAAUGCCCAAACUGCAAAUCUGCUGCAAUCUACCUGGUUCUCUGUAUACUAUCUGUUACUAAACUUGCGUAGAAUAAAAUUCAUUCCUAUUUCAUCCAGCAUUCCCAGGACGUACCUAUAAACCUGCCUUGGAAGUGGUGAGCUAACUGCUGAUUUUCUUCCUUGUUUUUAUACCAAUCCUGCGCGACGAAGCCUUUUGCUAUCAGUGUAUUUAAUGGGUUAAUUGUGUUAUGUGUACAGUUAGUUUGUUUUCAAAAUAUUUCACUCCAACUUAAAUUAUCAUCUGACAGUUUUUGAGCGAGUGCCAAGAAUUGCUCAGUAACUAACGUAGGUUGAAGAUAGGGUUAUUGCCCAGCCAGCAAGUAGUCGUUAAAAGCCAAGGUGCAGUGUGCUUGGUAUAUAACCACUUUAGAUUUACACAAAACACUUUUUAUUCAUAUAAAUCCUCUCAGAAAUUUAUUAGGAUUCCAUUAGUGGAUUUUUCUCCUCAUUUUGGUUAUGUAAGCUCAGUUUGUUUUUGUUUGUUUUUUGCAUUUUAUAUUUAUACCAUCUUGCUCUGGGAAAUGCUGCAAACCCAAUUCUGGCACAUUGUAGCGAUUUCAGUUAGUGAAGAUGCUACUUUUAUUUUAAUAACUUUAAGAUGUCUAUCCUAUGCAUAAGUUAUAUGAGAGGGCAUAACGAAUUAUUAGAUGUGUAGAGAUUUCUUAAUUAAGCUCUUUAGACAUUUUGAAUAAGAAAAAACAUUUUUAAAGGAACUACGUUCGUGUUUUUUGCCAAACCGGUACAAGCUAGAAAAUGCACUAAGGACUGAGUGACCCGCCUUGUUCAUUUUGCCACUGGAUAAUGUAAGUUAAGAAUGGAAUUGUUAACCCUAACUAUAUGUUUUCUUAACUUUCAUCAGUUUCUAAAGAAAUCUAAUUUAAGUGUUUGGGGUUUUGUUUGACCUGUAUUUAUUGAGUUCUGGUCAUAAACCAGGAGCUGCAUGUCAUGCUUAUGGAUAGCCAGAACACAGUUACUGGGAAACCUAACGGCGCAAGACCUUCUGAAUCGUUUAACUUAUUUUGUAUGUUGCAAAAAAAAAAAAAAAAAAAUUUAUUUUGCUUGAGAGUCACAUUUUUAUAACUGUACAGCUUUUAAGGGAUGAGAAGUGGAAAAAUACCCUAAAAUAGGAUGUAGAUUUUUACAACUGUGUUUAUGCUAGAACAUCUACAGGUGCAUUAUGUAAUUAAACCUAAAAUUGUUUUAAAAAAA